GACGAACCGAGCGAACGUUGUUCGGAAUCACUGGGCUUAAAGGGCGCGUAGGCGGGCUGUCAAGUCUGGGGUGAAAUCCCGCGGCUCAACCGUGGAACUGCCUUAGAUACUGACGGCCUCGAGGGAGAUAGGGGCGAGCGGAACUGUGAGUGGAGCGGUGAAAUGCGUUGAUAUUCACAGGAACUCCGGUGGCGAAGGCGGCUCGCUGGAUCUCUUCUACGCUGAGGCGCGAAAGCUAGGGGAGCAAACGGG
rnacentral:rRNA from 1 species